rnacentral:snRNA from 1 species
AUGUGCAGGUGAUGUGGUUGAGACAUCUGUCACCCCAUUGAUUCUCAGGAUUAGUUCACUAAUCUGGCUGAGUAAGAAGUUGUUCCCUAUCUCCCUCAUUUCUUUAUGCGCGUCUCUCCAGAAACUGCAUACUUGGUGGAAGAAGGAGUGUACUGUUCUUUAUUGAAGGGUAUGUGAUAGCUGUGUUGGAUUAGCUGUUCUUUGUGGUUAAAAUACAGCUAGGACCUGCCACAAUGAUGCUUUCUUCU